GAGUCCCCAGGUGAGGAUUCAUGUGACUUGAUCCUAGAUCUGCAGGACUCCAGGUUGGCAGCGCCUGGGAGUACCAGGAAGUCAUCUAGGGAACAAAGCAGAUCCCUGCCGUUCUGCUGAGCCAGUCCCCGCCUUGUUCCUGGUUCCUGCCUCCAUGCACCACUCUGCCCUCCAGUUCCUGGCUAUUGACUCUGGCUUGACCCUCUACUCCAGUCUCUAACUGCUGACCUCGGCGUGACCCUUGGCUCUAGAUGUUGGCUACGAACUCUGGCUCAGUAUUGUCCUUGUCCUCCUCCAGCCCCACCACUAACCCAGUGCAGCCUUGUCUCCCCCUUCUGAUCCUCCCCAGACACUUAGACUCUGACUACCCAGCUUCAAAUUUCUAUUUGAAUCUGGACUCUGGCUUGAUAUUGACUUGGCUUAUCUUUGGACUCUGACCACCCAGCUUUGACCUCUGGCCUGGACCUGGUCUCUGGCUCCAGUUCUGAUUCUGGUUUGUCUAUGGACUCUGAUCUUGGUUUUGACCUCGCCCUGUCCCCGGGUCUUGAUUCCAGCACCACCCUUCACCCAGGUCCAAUCCUAUGCCUAACUGUGACCUAUGCUCCAACUACUAGACCUAAUUAUAGGAAGCAGCACCUGACACCAGGUGGUGCAAUGUUUUGCAGAAAAUAGGCCCUUUGCUAGUAUGUGGCCCCUACGCAAGAAGGGACACAUCACACCAGGUGUGAACAAUGGCCUUGCUAACUGAGCCUGCCCCUGUGGUGCCUCUACCAGCAUGGUUCAAUGGAAAUGACUGAACAUGUAGGGGUUUCUUAACCAGCCUAUGCCCCUGGACCUGCCCCACCCCUCAGGCUAAGGGGGAAUUGGUAACUAGUUUAUUGACCGGUGAGGUGCUAGAUUGGGCCUCACUUCUACUCGAACCAAAUUGUCUGGCAAUAACACACUGGAGCACGUUCCUAUGAUUGGCUGAAGCUCUGCUGCCAAAAUUCUAGCAGGCACAUAGGCUGCUUGUAUACCAUGCAGUUCUGAUGACCUGUGGCCAAUGCUAAGUGGAACCAGGUGGCUCAGUUUUAUCAUUUCCACUGUGCACUGAGUGAAGUGUUCAAGGAGGAAUUAGCCAAGCUAGAAACUCUCACAGGCCUGGACAGCUUCAUUGAUCUAGCCAUCCACAUUGAGAACUGCUAUUGUGAGUGCAGGGAAGAAAAGAGAGGAGGGUGUUACACAGCCGCCUCACCCAGGUUCUGUACUAACACCCUUGAGCUCAUCCCCUCAACCUAUGCAGGUUGAUGUGGUCCACUGACACUUGACCACUGAGAAGAGGGAGCGAAGUCAGCGCAAUAACUUGUUCUUCUACUGUGGCAAGACAGGGCAUGCACUCACUUCCGGCCUCUCAUGGACCCCAGCCAGAAAAGUAUCGGGAAACAAACAAGCCCAAGUUUUCAUGGAAAUCCAGCUGGGUCCACCAAGGCCCUUACCGCAUCUCCAAGUUCCAGUUCAGUUGUGCAUCUCCAGAGAAACAUGACAGGGGCCAUUGCAUUGGGCACUUAUUUAUUCUGGGGUUGCAGACAAUAUCACAAAUUUCGAGACAGCCCUAGGUCUGCAUAUCUUGUCCGGCAGAAGUCACAUUGGAUGUUGUGAAAAUCAUUGACAAGAUCCUCUUGUCCUCAGGACUAGUGACUCAGGUGAUGGUGCCCCUGAAAGUGGUAACCCAGGCACACAAAGAAAUGCUGACAUUCGCUGUGAUAUGUUCCCCACAUUUCUGUGGGCUCACCUGGUUAGCAUGACAGGACCCCCAUGUUCUCUGGCAAACCCAGAAGACCAGCUUGCCGUCCAAGCGCUAUUGGCAGGCCUGUCUCCAUGGCAACAGCAUCGAGUCCCUGGGCCCAGAGGCCCAUUCCCAGACAGCAGUGAGUCCAUCCCUGUAUGUACCAGGGCUCACAGCAACUGGCUGUAGUGAACCGUUCUUUGGACUGACACCUCGCAUUCCUGAUUAGUACCAGAAUUAUUUGGACAUUUUAAAAAAACGUGGACACUUUGUCUCUGCACUGAGAGCAUGACUGCCCUAUUGACAUACAACUUGGGGCAACAGUUCCCUUUGGCCGUAUUUACACAAUGUGCGAACCAGAGCUGGUGGCUCUCUCGGUGUGUAAUCAAGAAAAACAGUGUAAAGGGUUUAUUCACCACUCAGCGUUUCCCACAGGGACCCCGUCCCUCUUUGGAAAGAAGAAAGGUGGGACUCUAUGACUCUGUGUAGACUACCAGGCUCUGAACAAAAUGGCAGUUUGGAACCACGGAUUCAGUUUGGAACUCCCUGAAUCAAAUGGCCACAUGGUACAACUGACAAUCAUAGAUCAACUGACCGAGAUGGCAGGCUUCAUUCCCUGUGGCCGCGUACCUUUGGCUGAGAGAACAGAUCAGCUCCAAAUUUGCAAACCAUGAUGCCAAUGACACCUUUUUUUGCUAACUAUAAAUUAACCCCUGAUUUCAUCCCACACUACCGAUGGCCUCUCCAAACUUGCCAGAUGACAACCUGGUUCAAUGAAGCCACCACAUUCAAGAAGAACUAAGGGGGCACCUAAAGGACACUAGGAAGAACUACAAAUAUUAUGGAGACUGCCGAUGACAGGAGGGGUCUUCUCAGUAGGGAAACUAUUUGCUGAAUGGAAGUACCGAGCCUUUGGCACUGACAAAUUCCUAAGCCCCGUCUGUGGCAACAGUUUCUGCCCCAUCCCCCUUCCUUGACCUUCUGAUCCCAUCCUCCUCCUCUGGCUGUAGAGAGCAAACUCUGGGUCCCUUCCCUCACCCUGGCACAAUCCACCCCCAGAGUGUUCAAGCCCCUCGCCGACAAUAGGACUGUGUUCCCCUCACCCCCUGUAGGGGAGGAAACUAUUACCCCCAUUUUAAAGGCAGGGAAUGAGGUGAUGAAGUGACCUCUCUGAGGUCACACCUAAACCUGGGGUAGAUCUGGGAACUGGGCUGAGUUCCACUCUAUUGCCUUCCCCACAGGGGCAUAGUCACUUCCUCCCCUUCAUUCUCCCCUCCCCUCUUGACCCUUCUUCUAAGGAGGUCUCUGAACAGGAAAUGAGAAGGGCCUUCCUCCCCACUCUGUCUUCCAGGCUCUGGGAUCUGUCCAUGCCUCCUACAUCAAUGGAGCCUGCAGCUGGCCCAGCUUGGGAAGCCAUGACCUCAUCUGUCAAGUGAGAACAGCUGGUUCUCAGUGAUGCUUAGAUGGCAAAUCACACACCUCUCACGGAGGUAGGAACCACUCACUCAUCUCUGUGAUUGCGGCUGUUGGGACAAAGAUCAAGUUCCUGGUACAUAGCCUGGCUGAGAGCAUCCCUUAUCCCUGGAUCACAGCCCUGGGACUCAGACAUUGUUCUCAUUGUGCUGUGGUAAUUUUAUUCCUAGGAAAAGCAUCUCCAAAGGAGGUGUAAUGAUCCUGGACUCUAUUGCCUGCAAGAAGCUUCAGACUGGAGCUCCAGCAGAUUCCCCUGAAGAACAUUACCCUGUCUUCCUGUGGUCAGGGUAGGGCUCUCCGUCCAUCGUGGAGGUUAAGACCAGAUGAGAGCUGAUGGAUUGACUUUGAUAUGCCACGUCCUUGUGUGGAUGAGGGAACUACAUCACAGUGGAGGACACAGUAGCAGAUGUACCACACAUGGCCAGGAAUGGGCUACACAACCUACAAUGAUAGGUAAGUAUAACCAUGGCCACCUAUAAUCACCACAGGCAUUGGUGGGGAUUGAACCAGGGACCUGUAGCACAAGCCCCUCUCACUCAAGCUAAAGUGGUCACUCUAGGAGUGUAGGAGAGCUACAGGGUCAGUCUGAUGGAAUGAAUAGAAAGGGGAGCCUGAGCUGAGGUUGCUGGGCCCUUCCCAGUAGCAGGGGAUGCUGUGGGAAGAAGUAGCAGUAAGAUGGGAGUGGGGGGAGAGGAGGCGAUGACUGAGGUGGAGAUGUUGGCACAGAGGGGCAUUUGUAUAGGGAGCUUUUGAGGUGAGAAGAAGUCUGAACUGGACAUGAAAAAAUGACAGCCAGAGCCAGACUUGGGGAAGUGGGGAAGACAGCACCAGGAAAGGAAGAUCAUGUCAGCAGCUGCUGUUUGGAUGGUCAGGAGGGGAAACUGGGGAAGUCACCAGAACAUGAUCCGGGGUCUUGUCAGUAGAAAGAGCCUGGAUACACUAUCAAAGAAAUCAGCCCUGUUUUAACAGAAGAAGGGAUAGAGAUGGAGCGGUGAAGAGCUCCCCAAGACCUAGAAAGGAGGCAGAUUGCGACUGUUCUGGUUCCAAGUCCUGUGCUUGGACCACACUCCCAUGCAACAGUCCGUAAAUUAAUGUCCCACCUGAACAACAACCAGCCAGCGCAUCCACAUCCUGGCCUGGAGCAGAAAACUGAGGAUCUUGCAAGAGCUUCCCCAGGUCAGUGUCAACCAAGACUGGUGGCCUAUUGGAGAGUCUGUCUGACCCAUUUGGGAAGCAGCCUCUUUGAAAUGGCUGCUCCACGUAAGGGCAUGGGGGUUGCAAAACCCCUCCAAUGCACAGAGCUCUGACUAACAAGGCUUGUGUUUUGUCACUAGAGUCCUGAUGGCAGAGACCAACCUGCUGCCCCUGUGGUCUGGGCCAGUGUUUUGCACUGAGGAACCGGUCCUUUCUUUGCAGGCUGCAGGGAUCUGAAAUCGUUUACAGCCCCUAUUGUUGCUGUGCCCUGGAGAAGAUCAUCGGCCACUUAGCAGAAUGUGAGAGAGCCAAGUGGCGAUGGGCUAGAGGAGUUACAAGAGUCACCAUGGCUAAGACAACCCAGGCCAACCACAUCACCCGGCACCCACACGCCAAACCCAACAACUGAAAUUAGACUGAAGCAUUACAGCCCACAGGACACUACACCAUUAUGUGCCACAGACAGAGAAUAGGAGGGACUUUGAGUCACUUGCUGAACAUCAGGUAACCAAAGGGAGGAAAAGGAAUAAGAAGAGAUUACUACUACUACAUGGUUUAAAGGUAAAAAUACAGGCCAAGAAUCCUUAUCAGCAACACUUUAAACUGAAGAAAAACUAUUAGAGUUUACAUCUCAAGAUCUAAAAUGAACCUUCUUCCCCAUCAUCCUAUCUGCA